CACUAAAGACUGAGCGGCGAACGGGUGAGUAACGCGUGAGCAAUCUACCUUAGUUACAGGGAUAGCCCGAGGAAACUCGGAUUACUACCUGAUAUUCUUUAUAUUUCGCAUGAAAUUAAAAGGAAAGGUCAGCCGAACUAAGAUGAGCUCGCGUUCUAUCAGCUAGUUGGUGAGGUAAAAGCUCACCAAGGCUACGACGGAUAGCUGGUCUGAGAGGACGAUCAGCCACACUGGGACUGAGACACGGCCCAGACUCCUACGG
rnacentral:rRNA from 1 species